rnacentral:misc_RNA from 1 species
UCCCGGUUAACCCGGGCAGUCUCAUUAGAGUUCCCACCAUUACGUGUUGGCAACUAAUGAUAAGGGUUGCGCUCGUUGCGGGACUUAACCCAACACCUCACGGCACGAGCUGACGACAGCCAUGCAGCACCUGUGCAAAGGCCCCGAAGGGAGACCGCAUCUCUGCGGCUGUCCUUUGCAUGUCAAGCCUGGGUAAGGUUCUUCGCGUUGCAUCGAAUUAAACCACAUGCUCCACUGCUUGUGCGGGUCCCCGUCAAUUCUUUUGAGUUUCAGCCUUGCGACUGUACUCCCCAGGCGGUAUACUUAACGCGUUAGCUUCGGCACAGCUAGGGUUGAGUCCAGCUACACCAAGUAUACAUCGUUUAGGGCGUGGACUAC